rnacentral:tRNA from 1 species
AUUUAAAUAGUUUAAUUUAAAAUUAUGAUUUGUGGGAUCAUGGAUAUACUUAUAUAUUUUAAAUA